GGGACCAUGGGGAAAUUAGGUAGACCCGCCAGGUUGAGAGCCUGGUCUGGCUUACGCUGGGUGUCGGUUCGAGUCCGACUGGUCCCA
rnacentral:tRNA from 1 species